UUUCCGUAGGUGAGCCUGCGGAGGGAUCAUUAUCGAGUUUAUAACUCCCAAACCCUAUGUGAACUUACCACUUGUUGCUUCGGCGCGCGCUUCGGCGCCGCCGAGGACACUUAAACUCUUUGUUUUUAUAAGCAUUUCUGAGUGGCCGAAAGGCAAAAUACAAAUGAAUCAAAACUUUCAACAACGGAUCUCUUGGUUCUG
rnacentral:misc_RNA from 1 species